rnacentral:lncRNA from 1 species
GUUCGCUGCCCCUUCGUGUUCCUGCUCUCAACCUUGCUCCCAGCAGCAAGGCCAGCGCGCCCGACCUACUGGAAAGUUGCUGCCGAGCUGUGGAGGGGCGUCAUCGCCUCCUAGCAACGCUCCUAGCAACGGGGUAACAUCUGCUCCCUCUGGUCCAAUGCGAGUCGAGAACAGCUGCGCGCCCGCCUCGCGUUCGGAACUCCGAGUGUGAGGCGCUCCAGAGACAGGAGGGACGGACCUGCAGGAGCCAGGGCUGCCCGCUGAGCUGCAGUUGCCUUUGCUGCCGCUGUCGCUCGGCUGCCGCGAUCGCUGUCGCUGUCAGCGCGGGUCUGAAGAGUGACAGCGCUGCAUAAGAAGGAGCGAGCCCGGAACCCCGCGCCUUUGCCAAACAGGUGCAUGCGCCCAUCGCCUGGAGAGGGAAUCCUGCUCGCAAGAUCUCAGGUAACCGUUCAUGAGCCUGAGGCUAUAAGAAAUGCUCGCUGUGCAAAGGGGGACUCCGAACAGAUUUUCUGAAGCUGUCCUAGAAAUACACUUUUCAGAUUGAUUCAGCAUUACCAGGUAAUAAUUAGCUUAAAAGAAACUGCUGUUUAAAUAUACAUCCAGA